CUUGACACUGAACAUUGAGCCUUGAUGUGUAGGAUAGGUGGGAGGCUUUGAAGUGUGGACGCCAGUCUGCAUGGAGCCGACCUUGAAAUACCACCCUUUAAUGUUUGAUGUUCUAACGUUGGCCCCUGAUCGGGGUUGCGGACAGUGUCUGGUGGGUAGUUUGACUGGGGCGGUCUCCUCCUAAAGAGUAACGGAGGAGCACGAAGGUUGGCUAAUCCUGGUCGGACAUCAGGAGGUUAGUGCAAUGGCAUAAGC
rnacentral:rRNA from 1 species